AAGUUAUAUUUCUGCUGAACAGUGAACGUUGUACUUGGAUUGAUUUUAUUUGGGGGGUUGUGGAGGGGCUAAGGACCUACCAAAAGCCCCAGGGGAGCGAUCUGGUUUGGGGAACGUUGUUUAUGACUGCCGUGGUUCAGCGUUGGCUCUUUUGAAGAAAUCGUGUGGGUGACACUGUCUAGAAGGAAAUGUACUCUUGACUUAUGGAACUGUAACUCCUCUGUACACUGUCUUUAUAAUAAUUAAAAAAAAUUAAAGUCGUGUUCUGAACUCGCUUCCUUGCUAGGUUAGGAGAAGACAUGGUAUGAUCUAAAUCACCUGCCGAGAUGUUGAGAAUGUGAGAGAGUUCAUGGUUUAUAGAUACAAGCCAGCCAGCCAGCCAGAUAGACAGACAGAUAAGACAUACACACACACAUACACACAUAGAUAGAUACAUACAUACACACGUGCAUGCAUACAUAGAGCAAAUGAGCUGUAGCUGUAGUUAGACAUGAAUGAGUUUGAUACAACUAGUGGAGUCAAUGUGUGUGACAGGAGUGAAAUACCAAAAUCAGGCUUG